ensembl:lincRNA
AUGCUCAAGAAGAACUUGCAUUGAACAUGAAAGGGAAACAGCUAUUUGGGAGAUGAACAUUUCAGAUUUUUCUCAGAGUUCAUUUUGUUAACCAUAGAAAAAUCUGUUUCUGGGUUAAUCAAAGAGACAGCAACAAGGAAGGAAGCCAGGAUAUAACACAAGCCGAAAGGAUCCCUGACCUCCAGCUGAAAAGAGCUGAAAAUAUUUCAUCUUUCUGUGAGAGGUGGUUGCAAGAUUUAACCACACACAGUAAUGAGCUAUUCAAAGUUUAGACAGAUAAAUUACAUUAUUUGAAAUUUUUUCCUACAAAGAUGAGUUUGACUAUGAAGGAAAUGUUUGAAGAAGAAGAAGCAGAGUUAACAGACAAAGGAUGCUAGAGUAGAGGCUGCCAGCAGAAAGUGUGAAUCAGAUUUAAGAUGGAUCUUCCCACCUCUAGUGAAAGACAGAUCUGGAUUAAUACUGUAUUUACACACCACGAAUAUCUGGAUUUGAAAGAAAUUACUUAUCAAAUGGAAGCCAACUUUAGGAAAGAGGAAAUAAAUACCAGGAAAUAAGUACCAGAAAAACAUACAAUCUUGGGGUUCACUCUGUGUUCAAAUAUCCUACAACAAAAUAAAAAACCAAAACCAGCAAAUGCAUAAGAAAAGAAGCAAUGCGGCACAAGUCCCUUCCGGUCCACUGCAGCUCCAGGUUUCCUGGCCCGGGGAGUCUCCGGACACCUGAAAGGAACCACACAGGAUCCCCUACAGGACCCCAAGACCUCUGGUGAGUGAAACACAACUUCGCCAGGAGGCAAGUUUGAACACCAGAUAUUUGGGCACCUUCCCUGCAAGAGGAUGCUCCAACAUGUAAUAAGGACACAUGCUCCACUUUGUUCAUAGCAUCCUUAUUUAUAAUAGCCAGAAGCUGGAAAAAAAAAAAACAGAUGUCUCUCAAUUGAGGAAUGCCUACAGGAAAUGUGGAACAUUUAGGUAAUGGAGUAAUAUGCAGCUAUUAAAAACAAAGAAUUCAUGAAAUUCUUAGGUAAAUGGAUGGAUCUUCAGGAUAUCAUACUGAGUGAGUUAACCAAUCACACACACACACAAAAACACAUAUGAUAUGCACUCACUGACAAGUGCAUAUUAGCUCAGAAACUCAAAUACCCAAGAUACAAUUGACAAACCACAUGAAACUCAAGAAGAAAGAAGAACAAAGUGUGGAUACUUCUAUCCAUCCUGGAAGGGAUAACAAAGUAUCAAUGGAAGGAAUUACAGAAACAUAGUGUGGAGCAGAGACUGAAGGAAUGACCAUCCAGAGACUGCCCCACCUGGGGAUCCAUCCAAUAUACAAUCACCAAUCCCAGACUCUAUUGCGGAUGCCAACAAGUGCUCUCUGACAGGAGCUAGAUAUAGUUGUCUCCUGAGAGGCUCUGCCAGUGCCUGACAAAUACAGAAGUAGAUACUCACAGCCAUCAAUUGGACUGAGCAUAGGGUCCCCAAUGAAUGAGCUAGUGAGAGUACCCAAGGAGCUAAAAGUGUUUGCAUCCCCGUAAGAGGAACAACAUUUUUAACUAACCAGAGUGAUUAUGGUGAGUUGAUAAAGCAUAUUUGAAAGAUGUGGGCACUUGGGCAACAGUAUGAAAAAUAGACAAAAAUCAGAGAGGCUAUGAGGGUGCCUAGGAGUACACACAACCAUUGUCUUUCAUUCACAGAUACCCCAUCUGUGGAGAGGAUGAUGAGGUGUCUAACUUAGAAAAAAGGCCAGACACUGGAAAGAAGUUCCAAAACAUAAUUAUUGCAUGCAGAGUUAUGGAUCCAUUUGAUACAAUCAUAUAAAUAGAACAUUCUGUUGAAAUAGUUAAGUACCUCCAGGAGGAACUAAAAUGAUAAUAUGCUCAAAUUGGAAUUAUCGUUAUUUGUAUUUUCUUGUUGAUUCAUGAUUAAAUUAAAAGAAUUUC